rnacentral:rRNA from 1 species
AGUGAACGCUGGCGGUAGGCCUAACACAUGCAAGUCGAACGGCAGCACAGUAAGAGCUUGCUCUUACGGGUGGCGAGUGGCGGACGGGUGAGGAAUACAUCGGAAUCUACUUUUUCGUGGGGUAUAACGUAGGGAAACUUACGCUAAUACCGCAUACGACCUACGGGUGAAAGCAGGGGAUCUUCGGACCUUGCGCGAUUGAAUGAGCCGAUGUCGGAUUAGCUAGUUGGCGGGGUAAAGGCCCACCAAGGCGACGAUCCGUAGCUGGUCUGAGAGGAUGAUCAGCCACACUGGAACUGGGACACGGUCCAGACUCCUACGGGAGGCAGCAGUGGGGAAUAUUGGACAAUGGGCGCAAGCCUGAUCCAGCCAUACCGCGUGGGUGAAGAAGGCCUUCGGGUUGUAAAGCCCUUUUGUUGGGAAAGAAAAGCAGCAGGUUAAUACCCCGCUGUUCUGACGGUACCCAAAGAAUAAGCACCGGCUAACUUCG